rnacentral:lncRNA from 1 species
AUGGCUAUGCAGCAUUCCGGCUGUUUCCUCUUCCUGAGCCUCGGGAGGAUCCCUGGGAUAUGGCCAACAUUGAUGGGCAUGCAGCUUCUCAGCUGGAUCUCCAUUUUGAACCUCGAGAUGGUCGUGCACCUGUUCCCCUGCAGAGGGCUUAUCCAGCUUCUCAGCUGGAUGCUGUUGCUGAGCCUCCAGGUCUUCCCAGGGGUACGUAGUCAAUUUUUUCUUCCCUGA